rnacentral:tRNA from 1 species
AUUGGUAGCUCAGUGGUGGAGUUCUCGCACGCCACAUGGGAGACCCGGGUUCGAUUCCCGGCCAAU